GCUCCAAUAGCGUAUAUUAAAGUUGUUGCAGUUAAAAAGCUCGUAGUUGAAUUUCGGGGUUAGUAGGUUGGUCGUGCCUCUGGUAUGUACUGGGCUCACUGAUUCCUCCUUCCUGAUGAACUGUAAUGCCAUUAAUUUGGUGUUGGGGGGAAAUUGGACUGUUACUUUGAAAAAAUUAGAGUGUUUAAAGCAGGAA
rnacentral:rRNA from 1 species